GCAUAUCAAUAAGCGGAGGAAAAGAAACCAACAGGGAUUGCCCUAGUAACGGCGAGUGAAGCGGCAACAGCUCAAAUUUGAAAUCUGGCUCUUUCAGAGUCCGAGUUGUAAUUUGCAGAGGGCGCUUUGGCUUUGGCAGCGGUCCAAGUUCCUUGGAACAGGACGUCACAGAGGGUGAGAAUCCCGUACGUGGUCGCUAGCUAUUGCCGUGUAAAGCCCCUUCGACGAGUCGAGUUGUUUGGGAAUGCAGCUCUAAAUGGGAGGUAAAUUUCUUCUAAAGCUAAAUAUUGGCCAGAGACCGAUAGCGCACAAGUAGAGUGAUCGAAAGAUGAAAAGCACUUUGGAAAGAGAGUCAAACAGCACGUGAAAUUGUUGAAAGGGAAGCGCUUGCAGCCAGACUUGCUUGCAGUUGCUCAUCCGGGCUUUUGCCCGGUGCACUCUUCUGUAGGCAGGCCAGCAUCAGUUUGGGCGGUGGGAUAAAGGUCUCUGUCACGUACCUCUCUUCGGGGAGGCCUUAUAGGGGAGACGACAUACCACCAGCCUAGACUGAGGUCCGCGCAUCUGCUAGGAUGCUGGCGUAAUGGCUGUAAGCGGCCCGUCUUGAAACACGGACCAAGGAGUCUAACAUCUAUGCGAGUGUUUGGGUGUCAAGCCCGAGCGCGUAAUGAAAGUGAACGGAGGUGGGAACCCGCAAGGGUGCACCAUCGACCGAUCCUGAAGUUUACGGAAGGAUUUGAGUAAGAGCAUGGCUGUUGGGACCCGAAAGAUGGUGAACUAUGCUUGAAUAGGGUGAAGCCAGAGGAAACUCUGGUGGAGGCUCGCAGCGGUUCUGACGUGCAAAUCGAUCGUCAAAUUUGGGCAUAGGGGCGAAAGACUAAUCGAACUAUCUAGUAGCUGGUUCCUGCCGAA
rnacentral:rRNA from 1 species